CAGAUAUGUGGAUGCUGUUCUGACAAUCCCGAAGGGCACCCUAUUCCCGAUGUGUGGAAUGAACCUCGCUUUUAACAGGGAGCUGAUAGGCCCUGCUAUGUACUUUGGACUCAUGGGAGAUGGUCAGCCCAUUGGCAGAUAUGAUGAUAUGUGGGCUGGCUGGUGUGCCAAGGUAAUCUGUGACCAUCUGGGUCUUGGAGUGAAAACAGGGCUGCCAUACAUUUGGCACAGCAAAGCAAGUAACCCAUUUGUCAAUUUGAAGAAGGAAUAUAAGGGCAUAUAUUGGCAGGAAGACAUCAUUCCGUUCUUCCAAUCUGUUGUUCUACCAAAAGAGUGCACAACUGUGGAGAAAUGCUACAUCGAGCUUUCCAAAUUGGUUAAGGAAAAGCUUGGCCCUAUUGAUCCUUACUUCCACAAACUUGGUGAUGCAAUGGUUACUUGGAUUGAAGCUUGGGAGGAGCUCAAUUCGCCAAGACAAGGAUCUACAGCUCAGCCCAAUGGCUUUGAGAAAAAAUGAGCCCUCUUUUUUCCCUA
rnacentral:misc_RNA from 1 species